GAAAUGCGAUAAGUAAUGUGAAUUGCAGAAUUCAGUGAAUCAUCGAAUCUUUGAACGCACAUUGCGCCCGCCAGUAUUCUGGCGGGCAUGCCUGUUCGAGCGUCAUUUCAACCAUCAAGCCCCCGGGCUUGUGUUGGGGACCUGCGGCUGCCGCAGGCCCCGAAAACCAGUGGCGGGCUCGCUGUCACACCGGGCGUAGUAGAUUUUUCGUCUCGCCCAGGGCGUGCUGCGGGUUCCGGCCGUUAAAAAGCCUCUCUUUUUGACCCAAGGUUGACCUCGGAUCAGGUAGGAAGACCCGCUGAACUUAAGC
rnacentral:misc_RNA from 1 species